rnacentral:rRNA from 1 species
UACGGAAGGCAGCAGUGGGGAAUAUUGCACAAUGGGCGCAAGCCUGAUGCAGCCAUGCCGCGUGUAUGAAGAAGGCCUUCGGGUUGUAAAGUACUUUCAGUCGUGAGGAAGGUGUUAAGGUUAAUAACCUUAGCAAUUGACGUUAGCGACAGAAGAAGCACCGGCUAACUCCGUGCCAGCAGCCGCGGUAAUACGGAGGGUGCGAGCGUUAAUCGGAAUUACUGGGCGUAAAGGGCACGCAGGCGGUUAAUUAAGUUGGAUGUGAAAUCCCCGGGCUUAACCUGGGAAUGGCAUUCAAGACUGGUUAGCUAGAGUCUUGUAGAGGGGGUAGAAUUCCAUGUGUAGCGGUGAAAUGCGUAGAGAUGUGGAGGAAUACCGGUGGCGAAGGCGGCCCCUGGGACAAAGACUGACGCUCAUGUGCGAAAGCGUGGGGAGCAAACAGGGAUUAGAUAC